rnacentral:rRNA from 1 species
AAGGGAGUUGCUCCUAGUACGAGAGGACCGGAGUGAACGAACCUCUGGUGUUCGGGUUGUCACGCCAGUGGCACUGCCCGGUAGCUAAGUUCGGAAUCGAUAACCGCUGAAAGCAUCUAAGCGGGAAGCGAGCCCUGAGAUGAGUCAUCCCUGACCCCUUGAGGGUCCUAAAGGGCCGUUGGAGACCACAACGUUGAUAGGUGGGGUGUGUAAGCGUAGCGAUACGUUGAGCUAACCCAUACUAAUUACCCGUGAGGCUUAACCAUACAACACCCAAGAAGUGUUCUG